GUUGACCUCGGAUCAGGUAGGGAUACCCGCUGAACUUAAGCAUAUCAAUAAGCGGAGGAAAAGAAACCAACAGGGAUUGCCUCAGUAACGGCGAGUGAAGCGGCAACA
rnacentral:rRNA from 2 species